rnacentral:misc_RNA from 1 species
CAGAGUUCGUGCCCUUACGGGUAGAUCUCCCACCCUGUGUUAUCGUUACCUUUGUUGCUUUGGCGGGCCGCCCGGCCUCGGUCAGGCUACCGGCUCACGCUGGUAAGCGCCCGCCAGAGGACCCCCAAACUCUUGUUUUAUACAGUAUCUUCUGAGUAACACGAUUAAAUAAAUCA